rnacentral:ncRNA from 1 species
AUUAUACGAAUAUUUACUACUCGUAUAUGCCCAAUAAUACGGUUUGGGCGUUUCUACCAGGAUGCCGUAAACAACCUGACUACGAGUAUGUAGUUCGAUAUU